CAAUGUGAUUUCUGCCCAGUGCUCUGAAUGUCAAAGUGAAGUAAUUCAACCAAGCGCGGGUAAACGGCGGGAGUAACUAUGACUCAACCGAGAGGGUCGUCAGAGCGGCGCUGAAAAAGGCGACCGCUAGUGGGGCCUCGCGCCCUGCGACACUGUCAAAUUGCGGGGACUUCCUAGAGCCUUCUGCUACCGCGGCCAGCCGGAAACGGCCGGUGCAGCACCCGGGUUAGCGGCCCGGGGGAUGGUAACAACGCAGCUGGUACGGGAUGACCGCGCAGCCAAGCCCUACGUCUCCCCCACGGGAGAUAGGGGUGCAGUUCAACGACUAAAUGGCAGUGGGUUCGGGGGGUACCGCGGUACGCACCCGGGCUUAAGAUAUAGUCUACGGCGGGCCGAAAGGCCAGU
rnacentral:ncRNA from 1 species